GACGAACGCUGGCGGCGUGCUUAACACAUGCGAGUCGAACGGAAAGGCCCUGCUUUUGUGGGGUGCUCGAGUGGCGAACGGGUGAGUAACACGUGAGUAACCUGCCCUUGACUUUAGGAUAACUUCAGGAAACUGGGGCUAAUACCGGAUAGGAGCUCCUGCUGCAUGGUGGGGGUUGGAAAGUUUCGGCGGUUGGGGAUGGACUCGCGACUUAUCAGCUUGUUGGUGGGGUAGUGGCUUACCAAGGCUUUGACGGGUAGCUGGCCUGAGAGGGUGACCGGCCACAUUGGGACUGAGAUACGGCCCAGACUCCUACGGGAGGCAGCAGUGGGGAAUAUUGCACAAUGGGCGGAAGCCUGACGCAGCAACGCCGCGUGCGGGAUGACGGCCUUCGGGUUGUAAACCGCUUUCGCCUGUGACGAAGCGUGAGUGACGGUAAUGGGUAAAGAAGCACCGGCUAACUACGUG
rnacentral:rRNA from 1 species